GGGGGUGUAAUGGUUUCGACAACUAUUUUAAACUUAUUAUUGCAGUAGUGUGGCAGACUAUAAUUGCUUCUAGGCGUUUCAGCAAACGGAAACGAAAAACAAGAAGACUUUGAAUACAACGAUCUAAUGAUCGCUCAAUCAAGUCAAUACCAAUCAAACCUAGCUUUUGCUUAGUUAUUAGCAACUAGUCAGUUAUUUAAAAGAUUCAUUUAAAUAAUCUGUAGUCUUUGAAUCUCGAAUUAAUAAUUAAGUCGCUUAUUAAUUUUAAAUUUAGGCUUCUUAAAUAAAUUACUUUUGUUAUUGAUAGUGUUUAUUUGAGUAUUAAAUCAGUAACUAAACUGUAGACAUAGUAAGACCUUAAAAUGGUUGGACCGGGGUUCGACUCCCCGCAUCUCCACCA
rnacentral:tmRNA from 1 species